GAUGAACGCUGGCGGCGUGCCUAAUACAUGCAAGUCGAGCGAACGGACGAGAAGCUUGCUUCUCUGAUGUUAGCGGCGGACGGGUGAGUAACACGUGGAUAACCUACCUAUAAGACUGGGAUAACUUCGGGAAACCGGAGCUAAUACCGGAUGAUAUUUUGAACCGCAUGGUUCAAAAGUGAAAGACGGUCUUGCUGUCACUUAUAGAUGGAUCCGCGCUGCAUUAGCUAGUUGGUAAGGUAACGGCUUACCAAGGCAACGAUGCAUAGCCGACCUGAGAGGGUGAUCGGCCACACUGGAACUGAGACACGGUCCAGACUCCUACGGGAGGCAGCAGUAGGGAAUCUUACGCAAUGGGCGAAAGCCUGACGGAGCAACGCCGCGUGAGUGAUGAAGGUCUUCGGAUCGUAAAGCUCUGUUAUUGGGGAAGAACAUAUGUGUAAGUAACUGUGCACAUCUUGACGGUACCUAAUCAGAAAGCCACGGCUAACUACGUG
rnacentral:rRNA from 1 species